UACGUAGGGGGCAAGCGUUGUCCGGAAUUAUUGGGCGUAAAGAGCUCGUAGGCGGUCUGUUGCGUCCGCUGUGAAAACUCGGGGCUUAACCCCGAGCCUGCAGUGGAUACGGGCAGACUAGAGGUAGGUAGGGGAGAAUGGAAUUCCCGGUGUAGCGGUGAAAUGCGCAGAUAUCGGGAGGAACACCGGUGGCGAAGGCGGUUCUCUGGGACGGUACUGACGCUGAGACGCGAAAGCGUGGGGAGCGAACAGG
rnacentral:rRNA from 1 species